CGAAAUGUAAUGUAAGGACGGCCAUUUUGGAUCGUCGUUUGUUUUAUGUAAAGAAAAAUCGUGUUUUUUCGGCAGUUUCAUUGUAAAUUACACGGAUUAUUAGGGAAAAGUGGAAAUUUUUAUUGCUGAACAGCGAUCCAGAUUAUUAAUUUCGUGGUAUUUUUUAUAACGGACUGAUAACAGUGUGACGCAAAAGAUAUAAUUUCCAGAACUCUAGCAAUACGUGAUUUCUGUAAUGAUUAUAAUUUGAAAGUGACAUUAGAAGUUGUGAUUGGCAAACGCCACUGGAGCUGUGAAAACUUAUUUGGAUUGAUUGGAAACCCCUUUUUGGUCCCACCUACAAGAAAGCAAAGACGACGCAACUUUAGCAGUUGCAGAAAAACAGAAGAGCAUCGUACAAUGAAUAAAUAACAACAAUAUCAGUCUCAUAAUAACAAAAUGGCGGACACAAUAACAAAUGAAGACGCUCCAUCGAAUAACGAAUCAGGAGACGGCUUUUGGAACAUUUUCACGAUAACUUUAGUGUCAGUGGGCUUAUUUGUAGUUCUUGGUGUGUCCGUGAUCAGCGCUUAUUAUAUUGGAAAAAGGAGAGCUAAACCAAUCAUAAUAGACUCCACGGAUGUCGAACCUCCUCCGACAAGGAUUAUACCUCGAGUGAGGAAUGCGUAUGCAUCUGAAGGAUCGUUUAGAACUGAUUCUGAUUAAAUACAAAUCGACGGGUUCGUCCAGUGUCUAAGUAGUUCAGUUGGAAGAGCAGUCGCCUGGCAAGCGAAAGGUCGUGGGUUCAAUUCCCGCCUUAGGCACGCUGAAAAUUCAAUAACUAUACAAAUUGUUAACUCAUAAAACUCGUAAGCCUUUUAAAAAGCGCUGUCACACGACCCAGUAUUAUUUUAUUACCCUAUCAAUGCUUAGAGACAAAUAAUGGCACAUGCUGAGAAGAAGCAGCGCAAGCAACUCUAUUUAUUGCUAUCAUAGCUAUAAAUGGUGACUUUAUUUAUUAAAAAUAUUCAUAAAACUCGAUUGAAUAGAAAGAAUAGAUUGAAUCAUAGCAUAAAAUGACCUAAGAAUUUUUAUAAUGUUCCUAAUAAAAGAGAUGUCUUAAUAAUACUUAGUCGGGUCAUAAGUUCUGUCACAUGUUUAUAGUGAAAUAAUUGAUACUUGUUUUUACGGUAAUCAUUUAUAUACCAAUAGAAAGGUAUUCAAACAAAGAUUUUAUGCUUAUAAAAAUUAUUUCAAAUUUUUCUCGCAAUUAUGAAUACAAGGGUUCAAACUGCGCGGUCAGUGGUCUCUAGAAACACGAGCGAGUUUCGUAUCAAUAUCGGCGGCUGGUUUAAUACAGGAUGCCUUGAGGGACUCCAAAUCAGUAUGAGACAUAGAGCAGGCCUUCCUCUCCAAAUGUUGCCAUAUUUUGUAAUCCAACGUAUUAGAGUCUGGACUGGAUGAUGGCCAGACUUCGUGCCGGCUGAGGUCAAUUUUACGCCCUACGAGCGGGUUUAGCGCGCUUUUCGCUCUAUGAGCUGGCUCAGAAUCCUGCUGGAACUCCCAGUGUCUGUUAUUGGGCAUGAUAUGUGAAAAAGGUUCUAUAAGCUUUGUGAGAACUGAAUUUUGAUACAGAAUGGCAUUCGUUUUUAUGCCUUUCAUGCAAAAAAUACCUCAAAAAAGCCCAAAUUUGAGACAUGUUACCAAACCUUGAGUGACGAUAAAAGCUGGCCUAGCUGGACAGCCUAAAUUAAGCCGGUGCUUCUUCAUUGAUGUACGCAUCCAACUUACCAUUUUGUUUUUUUUGUAACUCUCCUCCAUGGUAAAUAACAACAUUUGAAAAAUGUUAUUCAAGGUACUUUUUCCCGCGUACCGCUUAAGCAAAACGUGGGAUUUCUUCAAUCUCAAGUCUUUUAAACGCGCAUCCAAGUAAUUUUUGAUUUUUAUUCAAAUAGUUUGAAGCCUUUAGUCUUCAUCAAUACCAAUUUCACCCUGGUUCUGCUUAAGCCUACCUCCAGGGCAGGCAAAGUCUGCUAACGCAUGGGAUUUUUUUGAGUUCGCGCCUUCGCAGCUUUUAACGCUGCUGGAGUCCUAACCGUGCAAGAACAAUUACUUUUGUUUUGUGUCUUCUACACUUAAAUCUUCAUUAUAUCGUUUGAUGAAACGAUAAACGUAAAAUUAAUAUUUAAUUCAAUUUUUUCAGCACAUCGAAAAUCUGCUUUCGCGCGUAACCGCACCAAUGCUGCGUGACAACUACUGUUCGGUCUUCUUUGUGCGUCCACUACAUAUUUAAAAACAAAUAAAAUUCAAAACAAUGCACAUUUUUAAUUUUGUUAAAUAUUCUAAAUUCUAAUUCAAUAAAUAUUUUUGAGACCUUCAUUCAAAAUUCAAAAGUUAUGAUCAUGUGACAGAACUUAUGACCAGACUAGGUAAUUAUAGUGCAAUUUAUAAUAAGCUACUGCUAAUACAAUUUUAUUUUAAUCAUGUGAUGUAAUAUACAAAUAAUAAAUAUUUUUAUACGGUGUUGUGUGUGUGUAAACUCUUUAUUUAUAACGUCUCUCGACUUAACGACAAACUCCAUUAUAACGUCGGGUUACUUUGUUGGUUUACUUUAUUUUCCAUGGCUCUACUCUGUCACUUCAUUAAACGUCCACUCUCUUUAAUGUCAUUAAAUAAUCAGUCCCUUAAGUUUCCUUAUUUAGAAUUCACACUGUAUUCAAUUUAUCGAAAUGCUAGUACAAAAAUGUUUUAAAGUUAAUAAUUUAAUACAGACGUUAUGUACACGAUAUUUUGUAUCUAAUAUCAGUCACUCGUAAAUGAAUCAGAAUCAUGUGUGACUAGCCUAUAAUGAUGGGAGAUUUACCACAUUAUCACUAAUGUCUCAUAUAAAUUGGGGUAAUUUUGUAUAAAAGUAUAUUUUAUGUAAAAUUGUUAACAAUACUGUACAGAAAAGAUGAAAAUGUAUUACUUACUCGUAUUUAAUAAAGUUUACCGUCAGUUGUA